rnacentral:rRNA from 1 species
ACAACUUUCAGCAAUGGAUCUCUUGGCUCUCGCAUCGAUGAAGAACGCAGCGAAUUGCGAUAUGUAAUGUGAAUUGCAGAUCUACAGUGAAUCAUCGAAUCUUUGAACGCACAUUGCGCUCCUCGGUGUUCCGAGGAGCAUGCCUGUUUGAGUGUCAGUUAA